rnacentral:rRNA from 1 species
AGAGUUUGAUCCUGGCUCAGGACGAACGCUGGCGGCGCGCCUAACACAUGCAAGUCGAACGGAGUUAAGAGGAGCUUGCUUUUCUUAACUUAGUGGCGAACGGGUGAGUAACGCGUGAGUAACCUGCCCUGGAGUGGGGGACAACAGUUGGAAACGACUGCUAAUACCGCAUAAGCCCACGGUACCGCAUGGUACUGAGGGAAAAGGAUUUAUUCGCUUUAGGAUGGACUCGCGUCCAAUUAGCUAGUUGGUGAGGUAACGGCCCACCAAGGCGACGAUUGGUAGCCGGACUGAGAGGUUGAACGGCCACAUUGGGACUGAGACACGGCCCAGACUCCUACGGGAGGCAGCAGUGGGGGAUAUUGCACAAUGGGGGAAACCCUGAUGCAGCGACGCCGCGUGGAGGAAGAAGGUUUUCGGAUUGUAAACUCCUGUCGUUAGGGACGAUAAUGACGGUACCUAACAAGAAAGCACCGGCUAACUACGUGCCAGCAGCCGCGGUAAAACGUAGGGUGCAAGCGUUGUCCGGAAUUACUGGGUGUAAAGGGAGCGCAGGCGGACCGGCAAGUUGGAAGUGAAAACUAUGGGCUCAACCCAUAAAUUGCUUUCAAAACUGCUGGCCUUGAGUAGUGCAGAGGUAGGUGGAAUUCCCGGUGUAGCGGUGGAAUGCGUAGAUAUCGGGAGGAACACCAGUGGCGAAGGCGACCUACUGGGCACCAACUGACGCUGAGGCUCGAAAGCAUGGGUAGCAAACAGGAUUAGAUACCCUGGUAGUCCAUGCCGUAAACGAUGAUUACUAGGUGU